rnacentral:rRNA from 1 species
UUGAACGCUGGCGGCAGGCCUAACACAUGCAAGUCGAGCGGUAGCACAGAGAGCUUGCUCUCGGGUGACGAGCGGCGGACGGGUGAGUAAUGUCUGGGAAACUGCCUGAUGGAGGGGGAUAACUACUGGAAACGGUAGCUAAUACCGCAUAACGUCGCAAGACCAAAGUGGGGGACCUUCGGGCCUCAUGCCAUCAGAUGUGCCCAGAUGGGAUUAGCUGGUAGGUGGGGUAACGGCUCACCUAGGCGACGAUCCCUAGCUGGUCUGAGAGGAUGACCAGCCACACUGGAACUGAGACACGGUCCAGACUCCUACGGGAGGCAGCAGUGGGGAAUAUUGCACAAUGGGCGCAAGCCUGAUGCAGCCAUGCCGCGUGUGUGAAGAAGGCCUUCGGGUUGUAAAGCACUUUCAGCGGGGAGGAAGGCGGUGAGGUUAAUAACCUCACCGAUUGACGUUACCCGCAGAAGAAGCACCGGCUAACUCCGUGCCAGCAGCCGCGGUAAUACGGAGGGUGCAAGCGUUAAUCGGAAUUACUGGGCGUAAAGCGCACGCAGGCGGUCUGUCAAGUCGGAUGUGAAAUCCCCGGGCUCAACCUAGGAACUGCAUUCGAAACUGGCAGGCUAGAGUCUUGUAGAGGGGGGUAGAAUUCCAGGUGUAGCGGUGAAAUGCGUAGAGAUCUGGAGGAAUACCGGUGGCGAAGGCGGCCCCCUGGACAAAGACUGACGCUCAGGUGCGAAAGCGUGGGGAGCAAACAGGAUUAGAUACCCUGGUAGUCCACGCUGUAAACGAUGUCGAUUUGGAGGUUGUGCCCUUGAGGCGUGGCUUCCGGAGCUAACGCGUUAAAUCGACCGCCUGGGGAGUACGGCCGCAAGGUUAAAACUCAAAUGAAUUGACGGGGGCCCGCACAAGCGGUGGAGCAUGUGGUUUAAUUCGAUGCAACGCGAAGAACCUUACCUGGUCUUGACAUCCACAGAACUUUCCAGAGAUGGAUUGGUGCCUUCGGGAACUGUGAGACAGGUGCUGCAUGGCUGUCGUCAGCUCGUGUUGUGAAAUGUUGGGUUAAGUCCCGCAACGAGCGCAACCCUUAUCCUUUGUUGCCAGCGGUCCGGCCGGGAACUCAAAGGAGACUGCCAGUGAUAAACUGGAGGAAGGUGGGGAUGACGUCAAGUCAUCAUGGCCCUUACGACCAGGGCUACACACGUGCUACAAUGGCAUAUACAAAGAGAAGCGACCUCGCGAGAGCAAGCGGACCUCAUAAAGUAUGUCGUAGUCCGGAUUGGAGUCUGCAACUCGACUCCAUGAAGUCGGAAUCGCUAGUAAUCGUAGAUCAGAAUGCUACGGUGAAUACGUUCCCGGGCCUUGUACACACCGCCCGUCACACCAUGGGAGUGGGUUGCAAAAGAAGUAGGUAGCUUAACCUUCGGGAGGGCGCUUACCACUUUGUGAUUCAUGACUGGGGUG